rnacentral:lncRNA from 1 species
UGCCGUAUUCUCAGAAUCUCCCAAUUUAUCAGGGUUUCUGUCUUGGCAUUGAGAAAUGCCACGCUGGUAAGCUAGUCUCGAUUAUCCCUCAGACAUUCUAAUGUGUGGACUUGCAUAUUUAACUAUGUAAUGUAUCUGGACUUUGCUUCUAAGAAAUUUAUUUAUUUAAGAAACAGAGACACAUGCCGAGAUCAGAGAGAGAGAGAGGUCCUCUUGGCUGGUUCUCUCCCCAGAUUCCCACCGUGCUGGGGCGGGCCUGGGGCCUAGGCCAGGAGUGAGGAUCGCAGUCCACGUUCCCAAGGCUGCACGGGCAGGAAACUGGGGAGAGGCGUAGCUGCAGGCUGCACCCGAGCCCACCCCCGUGACAGGUGUCUGCUCUGCGAGGUCCAGUGGCUGCCCCUGGAGUUGACGUCUGUGUCGGAGGCGAGGCAGGGCUUCCGCUUUCGUUACUGGGUGAUGGAAUUCCUACCGCUCUGCUGCUUGCUGAAGUCCUUCGGUUCUGUUGGUUGGUUGGAAGGAUUUUCCAGGUUUUAGGUCUCGUUCUGCCAUCUGGAAGAUGAAUCCCGCAGCAGGAGAAUCGGGAGUGUGUUGUUCACCUUUCAGCGUCCCCGCAGACACGGUGUCAGCUGCUGGAGUAUCGACUGUCCCCCAUCCCGCCUCCGUCCCAGGCUCCCCGUGUGCCCUGCCGCCCGGUCUGAGCGCCUGUGCCUUGCUCAGCCGGGGCGUUGUUCUACGGUCCUCCCCUCGCUCUCUGCCCUCCUUAGGAGCCUCACUGAACGGUUGUCCAUACUUCUCGUCUCUUCUUCGCGGUUUCCGCCUCUGCUCCUGUGUGAUCUCUCAGCUCCGCCUCCUUCACGAACCCGCUCCUUUGCCGGGUCCAACGUGCUUGGCCAGCGGCUCAGGAACGCUCACGGGCACGGGCUUGACAUCAGGAGCAGGCUGAGGUGCCGCCUUGUGAAAUGUGACCCAGCCACGACAGGCCGUGACACUGACCCACACUACUGCACGGAUGAACUUGAGCACCUGCGGAUGAAUGAGGAAGCUGGACACACAUGAUUCCGGCCAGCUUACAGAUCUGGAGAGAAGGAAGGGAGACGAGCGGGCGCUGGGGGAGGAGAGUGACAGUGGGUGCGGGCCUUCCUCCUGGACGGUGAUAAUGGUUGCACGGUUUCUAAGUCUGCUAAAAACCGCGGCACUGCGUAUUUUCUUUAGGCCUGCAGCAGCCAAGGCUGGGCUGGGCCGAUGUCAGGAGCCCAGAGCUCCAUCUGGGUCUGUGGUGUGGGUGGCAGGGGCCCAAGCCUGCCCUCCAGGGUGCAUGAACAGGGAGCUGGAUUGGAAGUGGAGCAGCUGGGCCUUGGGCUGACGUGCAAAUAUGGGAUGUGGGUGUCCCAAGCAGUGGCUUAACCCACUGCACCACGGCACGCGCCCCAAUCGCGUAUUUUAAAAGGGCAAA